AUGCGUAGAUAUCGGGAGGUACACCAGUGACGAAGUCGGCUUCCUGGGCUGUUUCUGACGCGGAUGACGAAAGCUAUGGGAGCGAACGGGAUUAGUAACCCCGGUAGUCCUAACCGUAACCGAUGGAUGCUCCAUCUGGGGGGUAUAGAUCCCCUCCGUGCCGAAGCUAACGCGUUUAGCAUCCCGCCUGGGGAUUACGGCCGCAAGGCUUAAACUCAAACGAAUCUGAUCGGGGGCCCGCACAAGCAACGGAGCGUGUGGUUUAAUUCGAUGCUACACCGUAGUACCUUACCUGGGCUUGACAUGUAGGUAGUACGUGAAGCGAUAGCGGAACGACCAUUCGGGGAGCCUACACAGGUGCUGCAUGGCUGUCUGUCAGUUCGUGCCGUGAGGUGUCGGGUUAAGUCCCGUUACGUACGCAAGCCCUUGCCCUUAGUGACAUGUGUCUAAGGGGACAUGCCCGGGACAGCUGGGAGGACCGGUGGGUAUGACGUCAAGUCAGCAUGCCAUUUAUGUCCAGGGCUACACAUACGCUACAAUGGGCGGUACAAUGGGUCGCCAAGCCGUGAGGCGGAGCCUAUCCUCCUAAGCCGGUCUAUGUUCGGACUGUGGGCUGUAAUUCGCCCAUAUGAUGCUGGAGUUGCUAGUAUCCGCGCGUCAGCAAU
rnacentral:rRNA from 1 species